AUGUGCCCAGAUGGGAUUAGCUAGUAGGUGGGGUAACGGCUCACCUAGGUGACGAUCCCUAGCUGGUCUGAGAGGAUGACCAGCCACACUGGAACUGAGACACGGCCAGACUCCUACGGGAGGCAGCAUG
rnacentral:rRNA from 1 species